GGCUGGCUCGAGUGCAGUGGUGUUUACACCUAAUUGAUCACAACCAGUUACAGAUUUCUUUGUUCCUUCUCCACUCCCACUGCUUCACUUGACCAGUCUUUA
rnacentral:Y_RNA from 1 species